rnacentral:rRNA from 1 species
UACGUAGGGUGCAAGCGUUAAUCGGAAUUACUGGGCGUAAAGCGUGCGCAGGCGGUUAUGUAAGUCAGUUGUGAAAUCCCCGGGCUCAACCUGGGAACUGCAUUUGUGACUGCAUAGCUAGAGUACGGUAGAGGGGGGUGGAAUUCCGCGUGUAGCAGUGAAAUGCGUAGAUAUGCGGAGGAACACCGAUGGCGAAGGCAGUCCCCUGGACCUGUACUGACGCUCAUGCACGAAAGCGUGGGGAGCAAACAGG